CCUACGGGGGGCUGCAGUGGGGAAUAUUGGACAAUGGGGGGAACCCUGAUCCAGCCAUGCCGCGUGUGUGAAGAAGGCCCUCGGGUUGUAAAGCACUUUCAGUGAGGAAGAACGCCUGGUGGUUAAUACCCAUCAGGUAAGACAUCACUCACAGAAGAAGCACCGGCUAACUCCGUGCCAGCAGCCGCGGUAAUACGGAGGGUGCGAGCGUUAAUCGGAAUUACUGGGCGUAAAGCGCGCGUAGGUGGCUUGAUAAGCCGGUUGUGAAAGCCCCGGGCUCAACCUGGGAACGGCAUCCGGAACUGUCAAGCUAGAGUGCAGGAGAGGAAGGUAGAAUUCCCGGUGUAGCGGUGAAAUGCGUAGAGAUCGGGAGGAAUACCAGUGGCGAAGGCGGCCUUCUGGACUGACACUGACACUGAGGUGCGAAAGCGUGGGUAGCAAACAGGAUUAGAUACCCCUGUAGUC
rnacentral:rRNA from 1 species